CUCUUAUCAAGAGUAGCUGAGGGACUGGCCCGUUGAAGCUCGGCAACCAUCUACAUUUUUUAUGUAGAAAGGUGCUAAAUCCUGCAAAACAUUUGUUUUGACAGAUAAGAG
rnacentral:ncRNA from 2 species